AAUAUUGGACAAUGGGCGAAAGCCUGAUCCAGCCAUGCCGCGUGUGUGAAGAAGGUCUUCGGAUUGUAAAGCACUUUAAGUUGGGAGGAAGGGUUGUAGAUUAAUACUCUGCAAUUUUGACGUUACCGACAGAAUAAGCACCGGCUAACUUCGUGCCAGCAGCCGCGGUAAUACGAAGGGUGCAAGCGUUAAUCGGAAUUACUGGGCGUAAAGCGCGCGUAGGUGGUUCAGUAAGAUGGGUGUGAAAUCCCCGGGCUCAACCUGGGAACUGCUUUCAUAACUGCUGAGCUAGAGUACGGUAGAGGGUAGUGGAAUUUCCUGUGUAGCGGUGAAAUGCGUAGAGAUCUGGAGGAAUACCGAUGGCGAAGGCAGCCUUCUGGCAUCAUACUGACACUGAGGUGCGAAAGCGUGGGGAGCAAAC
rnacentral:rRNA from 1 species